AUGGGCGGAAGCCUGAUCCAGCAACGCCGCGUGAGGGAUGACGGCCUUCGGGUUGUAAACCUCUUUCAGCACAGACGAAGCGCAAGUGACGGUAUGUGCAGAAGAAGGACCGGCCAACUUCGUGCCAGCAGCCGCGGUAAUACGUAGGGUCCGAGCGUUGUCCGGAAUUAUUGGGCGUAAAGGGCUCGUAGGCGGUCUGUCGCGUCGGGAGUGAAAACCAGGUGCUUAACACCUGGCCUGCUUUCGAUACGGGCAGACUAGAGGUACUCAGGGGAGAAUGGAAUUCCUGGUGUAGCGGUGAAAUGCGCAGAUAUCAGGAGGAACACCGGUGGCGAAGGCACUUCUCUGGGAGUAUACUGACGCUGAGGAGCGAAAGUGUGGGGAGCGAACAGGAUUAGAUACCCUGGUAGUCCACACCGUAAACGUUGGGCGCUAGGUGUGGGAUCCAUUCCACGGGUUCAGUGCCGCAGCUAACGCAUUAAGCGCCCCGCCUGG
rnacentral:rRNA from 1 species